CUGCCAAUGACCAGGUAGUACAGCUGA
rnacentral:sRNA from 1 species